GAGUGGAUGAGAAAGAGAUGGAAGGAGAGCAGAGUAGAGCGUGGCGUGGGCCUAUUGAAAGCAUUUCAACCACAGCACUGCACCAUCGGUGGAAGAAUGUGCACGACACUUCGGGAUGGUACAUAAACCAUCUCUUUUUCCCCCAUCAACCCAUAGAAACGUCAUAAGUGCAGGCCCACCACAGAGGACAAUCUCACAAUGAGCUGCGAGUCCCACCGUCCAGCCGCAGCCCGAGCCCCAUCCUCAGGUGUAACGGCUGCGACACGGACCGAAAUAAGUACGACUACAAUGCCAAUAGCUCAUCAGCCAGUUCCUGAACCAACAUGGUUCGUGUAACGAACAGAGCCAGCAAAUUGUCGAACCACAAAUGCGGGAUCAACGGAAGAAAUGGCACAUAAGAACAAAUUAAGGGUGGACCAUGCUCGAACGUAAGCUGAUAAGCGACGAUGGGUUCAAUAUGGCAAUUAGAACCUGGAAAUUUAUUGGGGUUGUUAUCCCACUAGUCAUUGCAGAACGAUCCGAGCAAGGUCUGGGCUGUGUCCUGAGGUGGAUGAAUUAAUAGGCCCCAAAAAUAAACGGCUGCCGAGCACCUUCUUCCACCACUCACAUUGCUAAUCAAUUGACCCCAAUACGCGAACAUAUUACGGCCCACGCUGGUCCACUCUAUAAAUACAAGCACUACCAUCCGCCCAGUAUGAGGCGCUAUACACACAUCUGCAUCAACGGCACUGCAGCAACACUUCCCAUGAGCAACAACAAGAAAGGGGAGCGACGGACAAGCGGUCGGUCUCACGCACGCGUCGAAUGGCGAUUUCAACGGACCGUCGGAGCAACGGAACGACUGCACCACACCCCCAAUCCAUGCCGCCCUAGAGUUCGCCAACUACAUCGGCCGGCAAUUUUCAAAUUUAGCGCCAAACGUGCCGGCGACUGUACUCACGGAACCCAAGCAGAUUUUGUAUGGAAUUAAUCAAGAAACCCACUCAUUUUGUCAAUUCUGGAUAUAAUUUUGAUCGGAUCGCCUUCGAAAAAAUACCAAAAUUAAGGGGAUUGUUAGAAGUAGCCCCUCGACUUGUCCCGGAUCCGAUCUGAAUAAAGGAAU